AUAAUAAUUUGCCUCUUAAUUAGAGGCUGGAAUGAAGGAACAUACGAGAGUGAAGCUGUCUCAUUUUUAUUACCCGAAAAUUAACCUUCAGAUGAAGAGAUCUGAAUACAAAAGAAAGACAAAAAGACCCUAUUGAGCUUUACUUUACCAAGAUUCACCAAAAGAAAAUCUAUAACCAAAAAUCUUGAUAAAGUUUUGUUGGGGCGACAGAAGAAGACCUAAAUCUUCUUUAUCUCCAAAAGCACAUGACCCUUAUAAGGAGGCGGUCUUGCAAGUAAAAGCUCGAGCUUAGCUAGCG
rnacentral:rRNA from 1 species